rnacentral:ncRNA from 1 species
CAAAGGCAUGGUCCCGACCUUAUUGUCAGCUCUAACGCAACUUACACAUGUUAGUAUCCGCAGUCCAGUGAGUAUACCCUCAACCCCCCGCCCGGAGAAGAGGAGUGGGCAUCAGGCACAAUUUCUUUAGCCCAAGACGCCUAGCCAAGCCACACCCCCAAGGGAAUUCAGCAGUGAUAGACAUUGAGCAAUAAGUGAAAACUUGACUCAGUCAGCAUUUAAGAGAGCCGGUAAAACUCGUGCCAGCCACCGCGGUUAGACGAGAGGCCCAAGUUGACAAUACUACGGCGUAAAGGGUGGUUAGGGAAAUCUUUAUGAUAAAGCCAAAUGGCCCCUUGGCCGUUAUACGCUCCUGGGCAUCAGAACCCCAAUCACGAAAGUAGCUUUAGAAAACCCGCCUGACCCCACAAAAGCUGAGGAACAAACUGGGAUUAGAUACCCCACUAUGCUCAGCCGUAAACCAAAACACUACAUCACAAUCCUAGUUCGCCAGGGUACUACGAGCAUUAGCUUAAAACCCAAAGGACCUGACGGUGCCUCAGACCCCCCUAGAGGAGCCUGUUCUAGAACCGAUAACCCCCGUUAAACCUCACCACUCCUAGCUAUCUCAGCCUAUAUACCGCCGUCGUCAGCUUACCCUGUGAAGGUAAUAAAAGUAAGCAAAAUGGGUAUAACCCAAAACGUCAGGUCGAGGUGUAGCGCACGAAGUGGGAAGAAAUGGGCUACAUUUUCUAAUGCAGAACACACGAAUUUGCAUCAUGAAACAAUGCUUGAAGGAGGAUUUAGAAGUAAAAAGGAAGCAGAGUGCCCUUUUGAACCCGGCUCUGAGGCGCGUACACACCGCCCGUCACCCUCCCCCGUCGCCAGACACAUAAUGUAUUUAACACUAUAGCAUAGACAAGGGGAGGCAAGUCGUAACACGGUAAGUGUACCGGAAGGUGCACUUGGAUCAAACCCA